UGCUCGGCCUGCAUCCGGGGCUUGGCGGCACCGCGCGGUUCACCCAUCUCGUCAGUCCGCUCGAGGCGAUGACGAUGAUGCUGACUGGCAAGACCAUCGAUGCCCGCAAGGCGAAGUCGCUCGGCCUGGCCGAUGCGGUGACGCAGGAGCGGCAUGUCCGAAAUGCGGUGAAGGACGCGAUCUUCGGACGGCUGCGGCCGCACAGGCAGGGCCUGCUUGCGAGAGCGAUGAAUCUCGGCCCGGU
rnacentral:misc_RNA from 1 species